CUCGCUUUGGCAGCACAAACAGUAAAAUUGGAAUGACACAAAGAUUAGCAUGACCCCUGCACGAAGAUGACACCCAAACUGGUGAAGUGUUCCACAUUU
rnacentral:snRNA from 1 species